UGGGAUUUCAGCAUUAGCUGCCCUCUCUCCUUGCUCAGCGCUGUGCAAAAAUAAAAUUCCUACUUCUUUCCACCACCCCGGGUGUCAGAAAUUGGCUUGCUGUGCAACGGGUGACCGAACUCACUUCAGGUUGGGUAACAGGCAACAUGGGACUGCGCAGCCAGUACUUUCUCCGGAUCAGCCUCCUGCUUCCGCUAUCGCACAUAUCCAAGAUUGGAGCCAGCAGCAACAAGGGACAUUAUUUUAAAAAACUAGAAUGUGAGAAGACAAAGCAUUGCUGACAGUCUGCUUUUGUUGCUGGCUGAGUUGUCUGGGGAGCUCUGUCUCAGUGUUGCAAGGACAGAAUUAUUACUGAACAGACAGGGCAAUGACUUGGGCCGCCUCACAUGCCCAGUGAAGAAAAUGCUGCAUACCCUUCUGAUAUUUGCAACUCCACACCCAGAGGUGGAAGCAGUCAAUAGGGGAUCUGAGAAAGUCUUUAUUUCUCCUUUACUGCUGAAGUCUAAUUUCUCAGUUUAUGGCCCCAGCAUCUUCUGCUCCAGAGCUCAAGAACAGACAAGCUGUACAUCAAGAGAGAACUGCCAGCCAGGAUAAACCCCGUGGAAAUCAUCAUAAAGCCCACGCCGGCAGUGCACAUUUAUCUCCAAAGAAAUCAAUUGGAAAGUGCACAAGUAACUCAAAUGAAAUACUUCAAUAUAGCAUCAGUAAUGGGGCCGGUCACCGCGAGCGAAGCAUAGAUAAAACUUUAAAGAGUUUAAAUGAUUUAGUGUUGACAUAAGAGUUUCUUGAGGUGAACCAUCCCCCAAAACACCAAGAGUGCCUUGGUAUUCGGGACUACAAAAAAUUCCCGGAUAUAAAGAAAGAUAAUUGUCAAAGAGAUGGAACUUUAUCUUUUAAAUCUCAUUUCAGAAAAGCAUGGUAUAUCUUUCUGGUUUAAAUUUACCAAUGUGUAGGAAAAUUAUUCAUUUAAAUUGAUAUUGAACUAUCAUUUUUAUUUAAUUUAUUUCAAGUGUAUGAUGUUACCCCCGUUCAUAUACUACAUUGCAAAUAAAACCUAACAAAUUUCAGUGGAUUUCUGAAGAAACUAUAUGCAAAAGUGAAUACUAUUGUUAUCUAUUAAAAAAUCAAUUAUAUCAUUAAAUUAAUUCUAUCACAAGAUUUUUAGAAAACAUACUGUCAAUCAAAACAAAUGUUUGAGCCUACAUUUGGAAAGAUUUACUGAUGGGGGAUUUAUUUCAUACAGUGUAGUGCUAGUUUUUCUUCUAUGAAAUUAGGGAGACAGUCGGACAGAAAACAAACUUGAAACCAGGUUUUUGGCAAAUUUUUAUCAGAGGUAUUCUACAACAAUUAGAAGAACUAUAAGAAUCUGUCAAGCAGAUUAGAAACACAUUUUGAAACACGAGAGCAUGAAGAAAGGAUUCUUACAUUAAACAUCGCUGAGCCUAUAGUCAGUCUUCAAGGGCAGAGCCAUGUCACCUUCAUUCCUCCACACCCUUUCAUGUAGCAAGCAUUCAAAAAAACUAAGAAAAAGCUAAAUGAUUGGCUCUAAGCUUGCUGUGUUCAAUCACCACUCAAUAAUUUUUUUUCCAUACAAAGACAUUCAUUGGGAAGUUGGUACAAAAUUGCAAAAUAGAAGCCAGACAGCUGUUGUAAAAAUUGGCAUAAGAUAUGACAGUACGUUGGACUAUUGUUAUUUUUUUUUAAUAGUGAAGAUAAUGAGAAGCAGUCAAAUUCAGUUAAAUGUACGGCUGAUAAUGUUUGUUGAAGUCUUACAUGCAGAGUCUGGAGUGCACGACUACUAUCCAGCAGUCGAAGACGACUUUAAGAAAGUUGAUCUUAGUGACUGGUGGUGCUUCUUAAUGAGGUGGGCCAUGCAAAAGAAAGAUGUAUUUAGGGAGGGCAAACCCAGGGUAAAAUUUUGGGCCUACUACUUUUGAGUUUUCUUUUAGAUACACAAAUGUUGAUGUAAAUAAAACAGUUCAGUAUGGAAGUCUGGAGGUCCGGAGAAAGAGUGCAGCUGAAAACAUUCACUUGUACUUCCCAAAAAAGAAAACACCUUAGAAGAGAAGGAACAGGUGGUGGAGUGGAGGGAGGUUCUUAAAGAGAGAAGGAAAAGUCAUAAUGCUAUGUUACAAGAUGGAGAGAGGUUUGUUACAGAGAGAACUCAGAGUUGACCAUUGGAUAUAACAUCAGGUAGGGUUUCACGGGGGUGGUUUUAUUGGAAUUGUAGGGUAAAAGUCAUAUAUGUACAUUUCCUACCUCAUUAAAUUUUAAAUUCCUUGAUGGCAAGGUCAGCCUUUUUUAUCAUGGCAUUAUCCAGGGCAAAUUGCAUAGUGAUUUCCAAAUAAACACUUAAUGAAUGUUUAGGAAAAAUUUAUUGAGUGAUGUCAAAAUGAAAGAGCAGCUGUAGAUUUUCAAACUGUUUGAUUUAUAGGGUUGCCUAUUUUAAGUUGGUCUAAUACUUUGGGCGGAUGAGAGGAUACCAAAAUUAUUCACUGUAUUUUUAAAUCUUCUCAUUGAAUGAUUAUGCUUUUUAAUAAGGACAAAUAUGAAAAUGCAUUUGACACUAAUGGUCAGAACUGUGGUAACCUUUUGGGCUAUUUGCAAAUAUUUAUUUUGCUUCUGUGUGAGUUCUUUGAUUGGGAUCAAAUCACUUGGUUGACCUGUAAUGGCCGAAGAAUUCUGAGUGGUGUUUUAUUUCUAGUCCAGUAUGUAUAAUUGACAAUUCUAGAUCUUUUCUUUUCCUCUAUUACAACAACCAGCACUUUCCAGAUAGCAGCUGCUCCAGCAGCCCAUGUCCCAGAGUGAGGCCAGCAGUGAUAUAGAAAAGACUCCGUAGAUGACCUGCAAUAAAACAAAUAAGAGCAACAAAACAAUUCGAAACAAAAACAUUUAUUGUCUGAAGCCACAGAGUCUGGGGAGUAUGUGCCAACUCAGCCCAACCUAGCUUAUUGUGAUUGAAACAAACACAAAGCAAAUUUUCUCAGAGUGCUCACAAAUUUAAACUACUUGCCUGGAUGAUAAUUUGAGUUAAGAGCAUGCCCUGUUUUGCCAAGUACAUUUACCUUUCCUUUACUUGCUUUCAUGCAGUUAGAAGGUUAGAUUCUUUACCACCGUAUGGAAAGUGUAUGGGAGGCAAGAAAUGUAGGGUCAAGCCAUUCUACUUAUUGGAUUCUAAAUGCCUAAUCUCUUGGGAGAGCAUAAACUUAGUGAAAAGGUGAAAGUAGAGGAGGAAAUUUGGAGUCAUAAAAGUACUACCUUGGAGAAGUAUCUCCAUGAGCGUCGCUUUUCCUCCAAGACAAGAAAAACAGUUCGUGGAAGACUGGAACAGAGUGUUCACUACGCUGGCAGUAGGAGAGGGAGACAGCGAGAUGAGAGAGGCUGGUUGCACAGUAGCUCUAGGUAGUGAAAUGAGAAGCAGUUUAAAAAAGUCUUAGGAAGCUGUGCAAACAUGCUGAACUCAUGGGUACCUUCAAGCAGUGGUGAGAGAUGGGUUUGCAGUAACAUAUGUCGCCUGUGUAUGGGCCCCACUCACUUCAAUCCUUCGGCCUCUGUAACAAGCAGAACUGUGGUGUAAUCUCUUCUAUACAGAUGGGGUUGCACGUGUGGGGCCAAGUUUAUUUGCCAAUUCACUAGAAGAGAGCAGUAGACUAUGAACUAUUAAAAAGAAAGUUUUAGUUCUUGACUACUUGAAUCUGAGUAUUGUGAUUGAGAUUUAUAACUGCCAUAUUUAUUUAUAAAAUAAAAAUAUAAUACAUUUGAUUCCUAUUUACAUUUGUCCAAAACAAAUAGGAAGAUCGUAUCCCACUGCAAAGGAUAAUAAUGUCCGUUAAAAUUUCUAUGCCUUUUAGAGUUUAUGAACCUUCUCAUAAACAUUAUCUAGUUUUCACAUUAUCCUUCCAAGAUUGAUAAUAUUGCUGUGUUUAAUUUAAUGAUUAAUCAACUAGAUAUACACCUCUUUUCAUUUGGAAGAAGAAUACGAGCUAGUGAAGAGUAAUUUUCUCAAAACUAAGUUUUGUUCAAUGUUACAAUAAAAUCUCUAAUAUCAGAAAUAUGCUGUUAGAAGAAACAGUUUCAUGACAGGGAACGAAUAGGAUUAAUAAGAACCUACUGCACGUGAUGAAUCAAUUUAGUUCUGAAGACAACUCAAUCUGAGCAUGUCUCUUAUUUUCUAUUUGAAGGCGUAUGGAUAGAGAUAUAAAUAACCUGAAGAAGCCACAGUGGAGAGAGAAAUUUUAGUGUUCUUCCCACACUCUCUUCUCCCUGUUCACUCCGCACUCACUUUCAUUUUUUAAGGAAAAACAUUGCUAUUCCAAUUGUUCGGUGUCAAGGACGCCCAGGACCCAGGACAGGCGUAUUGAAGUCAGGACACAAUUGGCUUCCCGCUGCUACUCUUCGUCUUGGGGCAGCGUCUGGGAGGCAUUUCUCCUCUCCUUGUGGGCUUCUUACUCAACAAAGCUGAAUCUGAGUAAAGCAAUGUGGGACUAUUUGGGGGGAUCAACCAUCUCUCUUCAGCAGGGAAGAGAAAGCCUCCUUAAGCUUACUAUCGAAGUUUUGUUCUCUAAACGUCUAUCAUACUAUGAAUUUGAGCACAUGGUAUGCGUGUUUAACUGUUAACAUUGUACAGCGUUCCUGAUUUUGGGGUUAGUCCUUUGGUGUACAGCUGCAAGAGUUUGAAACCCCAAAUGAGGCUGGGCUAAUGAUAAAAUAUGGGCUCCAAACCUCCACCCUGAACCGUGAGCAUAUUGUUUUUAUGUACUUUCCUUUAUCAGUAAAGAACUCCUAAGUCCUAUUCCUGUAAUUAAACUAUAUAUUAUAUUGGAAGGUGGCUGAAAUAGUGAAGUGAACACAACGCAGUGAACACAGAGGAGUGAUAUAUUUUUUUCCCAAGAAUUUACUUGAAGAAAACUGAUGCCUUUAAUGCUUUUUAGAUAGUAUUUCCCUAAAUCUCUUUCAAGGGAUUGAUCGAAUGGAUCCCGCGUCAGCAGGUUAUAAUUCCACUUGAAUUCUUAGUUACCACAGAAACAACUGGUUCCCAAAACACUUUUUUUAAAUGAGAUAAUACUUAAGGGAAAAAUGAUUGUAUUAAUUAAGAUUUCUUACGUUGGAAACUAAAAACCUUAAAAUAUUUAGCAGCUAUGACAAAUCCCAGAAAAGAAUGCAUUUUCAGAGUGAAUUUACAUAAAAAGAACAUAAAGUACUGGGAUGAGUAUUCAUGUUUAAUGAUACAUUAUUUGCUUUUACAUGGCAAAACCACACUGUUUUAAAAAAUAGGAGAUUAUGCUAAAUUAUCAUACGAAUUAAAUAUAAUCAUAUGGUAUGAAUAAAAUAAGACAUUAAGGAUAUUGAAGGUAACUUAUACAGAAAGACGAAGAAUUAUAAAGGAACAGGCAGUUGUUUUUAGGAAACAAAUAUGGCAAAUUAAAAGGCCUGGUAAUACUGAUAUCUUUUCUAGCAUUUUCUCACAAGUAAUCUCA
ensembl:lncRNA